rnacentral:rRNA from 1 species
GACGAACGCUGGCGGCGUGCCUAAUACAUGCAAGUUGAGCGCUGAAGGUUGGUACUUGUACCAACUGGAUGAGCAGCGAACGGGUGAGUAACGCGUGGGGAAUCUGCCUUUGAGCGGGGGACAACAUUUGGAAACGAAUGCUAAUACCGCAUAAAAACUUUAAACACAAGUUUUAAGUUCGAAAGAUGCAAUUGCAUCACUCAAAGAUGAUCCCGCGUUGUAUUAGCUAGUUGGUGAGGUAAAGGCUCACCAAGGCGAUGAUACAUAGCCGACCUGAGAGGGUGAUCGGCCACAUUGGGACUGAGACACGGCCCAAACUCCUACGGGAGGCAGCAGUAGGGAAUCUUCGGCAAUGGACGAAAGUCUUACCGAGCAACGCCGCGUGAGUGAAGAAGGUUUUCGGAUCGUAAAACUCUGUUGGUAGAGAAGAACGUUGGUGAGAGUGGAAAGCUCAUCAAGUGACGGUAACUACCCAGAAAGGGACGGCUAACUACGUG